UCCCUGGUGGUCUAGUGGUUAGGAUUCAGCACUAUCACUACUGUGGCCUGGGUUCUACUCCUGGUCUGGGAA
rnacentral:tRNA from 1 species